CCUACGGGAGGCAGCAGUGGGGAAUCUUGCGCAAUGGGCGAAAGCCUGACGCAGCCAUGCCGCGUGAAUGAUGAAGGUCUUAGGAUUGUAAAAUUCUUUCACCGGGGACGAUAAUGACGGUACCCGGAGAAGAAGCCCCGGCUAACUUCGUGCCAGCAGCCGCGGUAAUACGAAGGGGGCUAGCGUUGCUCGGAAUUACUGGGCGUAAAGGGCGCGUAGGCGGAUCGUUAAGUCAGAGGUGAAAUCCCGGAGCUCAACUUCGGAACUGCCUUUGAUACUGGCGAUCUUGAGUGUGAGAGAGGUAUGUGGAACUCCGAGUGUAGAGGUGAAAUUCGUAGAUAUUCGGAAGAACACCAGUGGCGAAGGCGACAUACUGGCUCAUUACUGACGCUGAGGCGCGAAAGCGUGGGGAGCAAACAGGAUUAGAUACCCUGGUAGUCCACGCCGUAAACGAUGAUUGCUAGUUGUCGGGCUGCAUGCAGUUCGGUGACGCAGCUAACGCAUUAAGCAAUCCGCCUGGGGAGUACGGUCGCAAGAUUAAAACUCAAAGGAAUUGACGG
rnacentral:rRNA from 2 species